GUCGACAUGUUCUGCCUCCUCCCAUCACGCGUCCGCGUCCGCAGCUCUGCCCCACCGCGCCUCCGCCGCCGCAAUCCGCGCCCGCAUCCCACCAUCCCCGUGCGGCUCCUUCGCCGUGAUGCUCGCCCACGCAUGAUAGAAGGCACACCCGCAUCUCGAUUCCCGCCACCACAAUCUUUGCCCCUUGCUGACUUCGAUGGAAGGCGUACCGCUCGCUCUCACCUGCCUGUGCCCCGCGACGCCCACCCCUCCCCAUUGCUGGGGCCAGGCAAGGAUCAUUUCCACCGUCGCAAACCACCGAUCCCGCAAAACGGCGCCGCCAUCCUGCUCGUCCCUAACCACCGCCUACAGAUGGAUUCCCCUCCCCCACUGCGCACAACAGAUGGCUCCGCGCAUCUCGUGAACACAGCGGGCCGCCGGCGGAUAAGCACGCAGCAGCUCACCAUGCCUGGGUCGCCAACAAACCCGCCCCUCUCCUUCUCAUCCCCACCUGCCAGUGUAGGAGAAGAGGACGGAGGUUAGCAGAUCUCGUCGCGCUGGUGGAGAUGACCGAAGCCGCGGAGUGCGAGGAGGAGCGGGACCUGUUUGCCGAUGCAUAGGCCAGCGAGGUGUAUGAUUGUUAGCA
rnacentral:misc_RNA from 1 species